AUGGUGUGAUCAGAGCGGGUACCUCGCAGACCAUAGGUUACACGUUUAUACCACACCAGAGAGCAAUGUUGUCAAGGGUAAAUAGGGCCGCAGAGUAACUGGCUCUGUAAUACCGUGUGGCAAUACAU